UACGGAGGGGGUUAGCGUUGUUCGGAAUUACUGGGCGUAAAGCGCGCGUAGGCGGACCAGAAAGUUGGGGGUGAAAUCCCGGGGCUCAACCCCGGAACGGCCUCCAAAACUCCUGGUCUUGAGUUCGAGAGAGGUGAGUGGAAUUCUGAGUGUAGAGGUGAAAUUCGUAGAUAUUCGGAGGAACACCAGUGGCGAAGGCGGCUCACUGGCUCGAUACUGACGCUGAGGUGCGAAAGUGUGGGGAGCAAACAGG
rnacentral:rRNA from 1 species